GCAAUUUUGAGUCUGCAAUUGAGCUUAAUGAGCUGCAAUUGCAAUGCAUUUGGGCGUAGUUUACGAUGUUAUAUUAAAUUGAUUAAGACCAUCACACUUGAACAAAAUAGAUAUUUUAGUUAUUUUAGUUGUAUGCUCUAUGAAGCCGCAGUUAGCUUCUGAAAUGAACUGUCAGAUAUAAUUACUAGCUUUGAAGGAGUAUCCAGCCAACGUUGCAGAACUGUUUACCAUACUGUAGAUGACUUGAAUGCUACUCAGUACUUUUGUUUAUGGUGUCCGUAGUAGCUGUGCUGUGGGGCUGCACCAACCCAUAUCCGAAGAGAAGCACAGAGGGGAUUGAACAUGUUAAAAGGGAGAUUAAGUUUCAUCAGUUCCUGGCUGACGUUAAGUUCCUGUUUUUAAACAUUAAGAGCAGAUGUAGCCUAUAACAACAUGUCCCUUUACAUUUGCUGUACCUGAUUGCAUUCCUACUGCAUCAGAGUGGGUCCUUGGUGUACUACUUCACUCUGGCCACCACAGGAGCUGUUGGAGGAAUGGUUCUCACCAUGGUAGGCAUCACUCUCUGCAUAGUGAGCCCCAUCACUGAGCCUGAAAGCACAGGACAGCAGAAUGGUACACAGCUCUCACCGUACAAUUAGAAACAGUAUAUGUAGCAGCACUCCUAUUGCAUCUAUCUCUGGGUGUCUUGCGCGAUGACAAAAAAAAAAAGGUCUGGACACA